UUUUUCUUAAUAUUUUGUCUUCUGUCAUGUUUUGCAAGUAAUAUUAGUGCAGAUUGAGAGAAUGUUUAGUUAAUUGCAUUUUGUUUUAUAAUUUUAGGUUGUAUGGUUGAGAUGCUUGUAUGGUUAUUUGUUCGUAUUUUAUGCUUUGUAGUAAUCUAGUUUAUUGUUGUAUGUAUUUUGGUAUUUAAAAUCGGGCAAAUUAGUACAAUGCAAUUU